rnacentral:rRNA from 1 species
UAGUUCCUACGGGACGCAGCAGUGGGGAAUAUUGCACAAUGGGGGAAACCCUGAUGCAGCGACGCCGCGUGAGUGAGGAAGUAUUUCGGUAUGUAAAGCUCUAUCAGCAGGGAAGAAAAUGACGGUACCUGACUAAGAAGCCCCGGCUAACUACGUGCCAGCAGCCGCGGUAAUACGUAGGGGGCAAGCGUUAUCCGGAUUUACUGGGUGUAAAGGGAGCGUAGACGGCAUGGCAAGUCUGAAGUGAAAGCCCGGGGCUCAACCGCGGGACUGCUUUGGAAACUGUUAAGCUGGAGUGCAGGAGA